rnacentral:lncRNA from 1 species
GUGGUCAGUGGGCGGUGCGCAGGCGCAGCUGCUGCGGCUCCUGAAAUCCUCCGGUGUGAACUUCUCCCAGGGCUGUUGAUGCUUCAUCUACUCUUCUGGCAGUGGGGGCCUGGACCUUAGUUACCCGGGAAGCGUGAGUCAUGUUGCACAGUUGAGCUGGCACAUAAAACUACGAGUCACACCAGAAGAGGGCAUUGGAUCCCACUAUAGACUGUUGUGAGCCACCUUGUGGUUGCUGGGAAUUGAACUCAGGACCUCUGGAAGAGCAGUUGGUGCUCUUAACUGCUGAGUCAUCUCUCCAGCCCCAGGUGUUCUGCCCAGUUUAUAGAACAAGGAAUUGAAGCUUGGAGAAGAUUGAUGGACCACUCAAGUUCCCUGGAUGGUCCAGGAUGCAGACUGAGGAUGGCCUAAAACAUUAGUUUUGCUGGCUCCCUGUGCUUGGCUAACUUUAGAGCCUCUUACCUUGCCACAGUCUUUUCUAUGAAGGACAGAGAGCCAAGGAGUGGACCAACAUGCCUGAGUUUACACAGUGGACCUGAGGACCGUCACCUCCCAGUGCAAUGUUCCUGUGUACUGCCACUGAAGAGACAGGUGGGAGGGAGCUCAAGGUUGACUUGCCUAACAACCAUUGCUUGAAAGACAAAGCUCCCAAGGAGAGCACAAAAUACCUCACUCGAGACUCCUCUGCAUCACCAACCAGUGUGAAGAAAGCCUGCAGCUGUCAGCAGAGUAUUCUUUGUCUCGGUGACACGCUGUGCCUACAGUUGGACUAGAAACUUUGGAUUAGGGUGUGAGUCGUGCCCCAUAGGACAGAGGUGGUGCAUGUAGCCUCAUUUUGGAGUUUAUUUAGAGAGGAGAAAGAAUGUACCAUAGUCCCCAAAGGCUCUAGGUUACAGUGAAUUCUCUUUAGUUCAGUUAUAGUUUAGUUUAGCUUGGUUUGGUUAGCUGUGGUUCCGUUCUGUUCCGUUCUGUUCUGUUCGGUUCAGUUCGGUUCAGUUGCAGAGUUGUUGCUCUUUCAUGCUUUGCAUCCCAACUCCCUGCUCUCUCUUGGCUUUGGUUCCCAUCAGGUCCAGAAUAAAUGGCAAGGAGAGGGUCAUAGAACAAGUUAAACGAUGCUUUUUAUUGGCAGGAUUGGGACUAAAGAGAUCAGGAGUAAGACUGGGAAUAAGUAUGCCAACUUAGGGUGUGGGGUAAAAUAAAUAGUAACCGGUGAGGGUCUCCAACCCAAUGAGGUACCAUUUGCCUCAGUGUCUGGACCUGUUCAUCUUCUUUGCUUUGUGAUCCAGGAUAUGUGGCUUGCCACUAACUGAAAGAGGACUUCCAGGGGCUCUAACUGGGUACCAAAUACUCCAUCUUGCACAUGAGAGGUCCUUGGUCUUAGAGGUAUUCGAGCUGGUCUCUAAUGAGUCAUCUGAAGGGAGAAAACAAUUCAGAUGGGGCUGGUUCCUAGUGAGGGACUCCCCAGAGUUUAUAUCACCAAUGCGAUUAGAACUUCAAGACACACCUGAACGGAUGGAGCUGAGUCCCCAGAGGAAUAGCCCAUGCCUAGUGUCCCCAGCUCUCCCUUUCUCACCCCAGGAGAAUUAAAUUCCUCUGAAUAGGAGUCAGGAUCCCAGAGCUUCCUCACCCCCAGCAUCCUUCUGACAGCGUCCAGCCGGGCCUGGAUCCGUGGAGCCUCCUGUGGACACAGCAUCUGCAGCUCCCCAGGUCUCAUGUGAAGUAGCUGGCUUCCCAUUAGGGACCCGAGGGUCCUUACAGUGCUGUAAAUAACAAUGGUAGAAUCCACCAGAAGUAGGGUGGGCAGAUUCUAGGUCUUAGUAUUUGUGUAGAGAAGGAAAGUUGGGGUUACAGGAAUUAGGUAUCUGCAGGUACAGGGAUACACCUAGUGGUUUGGUCUCAGUGAACCACAGAACUCCGAGAUUUGAGGGCAGAAACACUUUAAAAAAGACUGGUCUGGAAGGGAAGGGUGGCUAAGGUGGGCAGCCCAAGUUCUUCCAGAAUUUGCUACCCUUGACUCUUUCUCUUUCACUACAUAUGGCCUCUGCACUGGGUGACCUACCCUAGGCUCAGACAAGCAGCUUUCAUUCAGCAGAGAAAGCCUAAGAUGGAGUCAUCAAGUACAGUGGAAGCUAGGUCACACUCUCUAACUCUGAGAGUGAAUGGAGCCUGUGGUUCUCCCAUUUACAGGGCUCACCGCCCCUCAUCCCCCAGGGGACUGGUCACUCACACAGUGGAGAAGUUCUCUGCUUGUAGCCAGGCUGUGACCUCCUCAGGCUUUGAGCUCAGGCGAAGCAUUGGGGCCUGGAAUCAAGGAGCACUAGAAGUCAGAGGUCAUCCCAUCUUACAAACAUACACAGCCUCCUGUAUUGGGUCCCUUCUACUGAGAUCCCAUCAGGAUGCUUAUCUCACCUUCUGGUUUCCUAGUUCGGCAGGGACGCUCACCUAAUCUUUGUUCAGACCCUAUAAUGAACUUGGCACCGAGGAAGCAUGCAAUGAUAUUGAUUAAACUGAACUAAGAUUGUCU